rnacentral:SRP_RNA from 1 species
GCCGGGUGUGGUGGCACACCCCUGUAGUCCCAGCUACUGGGGAGGCUGAGGCAGAGAAUUGCUUGAUCCCAGGAGGCGGAGGUUGCAGUGAGCCAAGAUCACGCCACUGCAUUCCAGCCUGGGUGACAGUGAGNNNNNNNNNNCUCACUGUCACCCAGGCUGGAAUGCAGUGGCGUGAUCUUGGCUCACUGUAACCUCCACCUCCUGAGGUCAAGCGGUUCUCCU